CGCGAGGCUGCCCGGUCUUGGCGUGUGGGUGCCGGGGGCGUCUCCUCGCAGCCUCCGCAGAGGCCAUCGGUCUGCGUGCACGCCUAGAGUUCAUUCCUGUUGCUUUCGGUGCCCUCAGCCAAGGACCCGGUUGCCAUGGUGAAAGAAAAAGACCCUUCUGGAGUGGAAUUAGAUUCUCAGGUCAGAAGUGAUCCUAUCAGAGCUGCCAGAGGACCAUCCGAUGGUCAUUUUUCUGACGUUAAAGGAGCACUUCGGUCCUGCUCUCUGACAAGCUUGUGAUCGCUGUGGCUUCUCCUGUGGGACAUCCCCCCCCACACCAGCACAGACAUAGCUGCUCUUCACCCUGUCUCGAACCAUCUCAAUGACUUCUCUAUUUCUACUUUCUGUGUGUGAGACACAGUGCUACACUUGGGUCGUGGCUGGAAUUUGAGCUUGGUUCUACUGUGCUGAGGGUUGGGUUGAGCAUUGUGCCUGCUUUGGCAGUGAGGAGGCCGCACCCCAGGACCAAGGGACUACUCCAUUCACCCACCGCUGGGGACCUUUGAUGCUCAACCUGCUUUUGCCCUGAUCUCUCGGUGAAUAGACGGUGGUACAAAU
rnacentral:lncRNA from 1 species